GUACAAGAUUGCAGCAAUACUUCUGACAAAAACGCGGGUAGAUCAUUGCAUAAGAGCCCAAAUGACGAAUCUUUGAGAAGAAUAUCGGUUAGAUUUGUGCAAACUAAGCACGCCAAUUUUUAUCCAAGCUCGCGGGAAAUUGGAUUCAUGAUUUGUUUGGACCAUUUUUCAACGGAUUGUUUUACUGUCGUUCCAAUUGAAGUGUUGCUCAAAUAUUGAUUCAAUACAUUACCUCGGGCUGACCAAUUCAUUUGAUCAAGUUCCCCGAGAUAUUCAUACACUUCCUGUGAAAGAGCCAAUUCCAAGUAUUUGAUCAUUUCUGGUCACUUCCUUUCUAUUUAUGAUUGGUUAGUUGCACAAACAACAAAGGUGAUUGGUGCAUUCAAACUAUUCAACAGGAAGUUUACAAUUAUACUAGGAAGUGUAUGAAUAUUUCGAGGAACUUGAUGAAAUGAAUUGGUCAGCCCGAGGUAAUGUAUUGAAUCAAUAUUUGAGCAACACUUCAAUUGGAACGGCA